rnacentral:rRNA from 1 species
UACAGAGGUCCCAAGCGUUGUUCGGAUUCACUGGGCGUAAAGGGUGCGUAGGUGGUGAGGUAAGUCGGAUGUGAAAGCUCCGAGCUCAACUCGGAAAUGGCAUUGGAAACUACCUUGCUCGAGGGUUUGAGGGGGGACUGGAAUACUUGGUGUAGCAGUGAAAUGCGUAGAUAUCAGGAGGAACACCGGUGGCGAAGGCGCCACUCUGGGCCGAAACUGACGCUGAGGAGCGAAAGCGUGGGUAGCGAACAGG